GUUAAACUCUCCCUUGUUAGUACUCGAAUAAAUGUGCGGAACGGACAGAACACUAAGUAUAAGAUGGCGUAACAACGCUCGGUUGCCGGGUGCCAUGUAUUGACAAAUCAACAAACCAUUUCAGGCCAUAGACACAAAUUUUGAAGCUUACCUGUUAAGUUGUCACACUUGUUCGGAUGUUAGUGAUGUUGAUAUUCAUGCUGUACGAAUUAUACUCUAUCCAUAGCUGCCAACAUUAAUUGCAACACUAGAGGCUAAAUACAAAUAUGUAAACACAAAUAUGAGAGCCAACAGAGUAAAAAAAUCGAUUGCCCAAGGCGAAAACCAGGAUAAGUGGGCCAGAUAAUCCCGGAAAGCGAAUCGAAUGCGAGGCGAAUUUUUAUUCUCUGUAGCGUGAUUCCCUAAUUAUCUGUUAGAUAAUGUGCAAGAAUACAAACAUCAAAAACUUUAAUAAACGCGAAUAUUGUUUUUUACUUUAUGAUAAAAUUUCACGGAUAUGAAGAUUUUAAUGUAAUUAUUAAAAUUCAUCCUUAACUGGACUGGACCAUAAUUCACUAGACCUGGCUACAUACACAACCAAAGAAACACAGUACAAACAUCGUUCGAGCCAGGUGUCCGGACGAGCUCUGUGGCGGUGGCAGCCAUAUAUAUCCCUCCUCGAUAAAUGGAAAAACCAAACCAACCAAAACGAAUAAAUAUUUUUUUUAAUGACCAAACAAACUCUUUAGCUUUAAUACAUCUAUACUUAUUAUAAAUCUGUAGAGAGGUCAAUUCUGUACAUGAAAUAUAUUUCCAAAAUAACUAUCAGGGGGUGAUUAGUGAUCGAUACUGAUGCCAAAAAUGCAUCAGUAAAAUUUUUGUCUGUCUGUAUGUUCGUUAUAGAAACAAAAACUACACGACGGAUUUUAAUGGAACUUGGUACAAUUAUUCUUCAUACUACUGGGCAGUAGAAAAAAAAAUAAACUUAUCCAUUUGAAACACCUAUUCAAAAAUAAUUAUUAAAUCAAAGUUUAAGUAUUUUUUCAGCACAUAGACACGACUAAAUUGCACUGAAGGUAGUGAUUUUUGUAUUUUGUAGAAAAAACAAUAUUUUAAAACUGUAAAAUUUCAGCUAUAGUCUGGCAAGUUCGUUGAUAACACUCCCAUGAUAUGCAGGCGACGGGGGGAAAGACGUGGGUGUGAAAUCGUGCGGCCGGGGAAGUGACGUGCAUCAGUCGUGGGUUUUUCAUUCAUCGCUACACGCCCGCCGGCCCGCGCGUAACGUCGGGAGUGUUACGAACAAAGUUGCCAAGCUAUAACAUAUAUUGCGUUAUUUUAGUAUGCCUUGAUGUCAGCUCUCACCUUGUAGAGUACGUCGUAUCAUUUACGGGACACCCUGUAUAACUAACUUAAAUUAAAAAGAGAAACAGUCAUCAACGUAACAUCAUGCGUGGGUAGGUAUAUUAUAAACAUUGGGCAGCAACUGGACAUCAAACCGAUUUAUAUCGAAUUUCCUUCGGACAAAUUGGAUUCUGUGGCUUUCAAUAAUUCUCUUAUUGAAUUUACGGCCCAUCCUUAACCACUUACUGUAUGUGUGGAAAUGUAAUGUGUGUAAAUGUAAACGAUAUAAAUAUAAAUAGAUUUAAAAAAAUCAGAUUUUAUUUAAAUUAAAUAUAUUGUCUAGACUUGAUAAUAGUCUAUUUCAUUAGACAAUGGUAUAAAUAAUUAUUAUUUUUUUUAAAUACAACUGACAUAUAAUAAUGAAACGUCAGCCUAUCAUAGAUAAGUUAAAAAUAAUUUAUAUAAAUACCUAACUCAACAGGCAUUCUACAGUGUAAAUGAGUAUUUAAGUUCAUAUUAUUGUUAUUUUCAUACAUAUUUUAAUUGUAAAGAUGUAAAUUUUAAAUGGUGAAAU